rnacentral:rRNA from 1 species
CGUGCAGCCGGGUCUGCAAGUCAGAUGUGAAAUCCAUGGGCUCAACCCAUGAACUGCAUUUGAAACUGUAGAUCUUGAGUGUCGGAGGGGCAAUCGGAAUUCCUAGUGUAGCGGUGAAAUGCGUAGAUAUUAGGAGGAACACCAGUGGCGAAGGCGGAUUGCUGGACGAUAACUGACGGUGAGGCGCGAAAGCGUGGGAGCAAACA